rnacentral:rRNA from 1 species
CCAUGCCGCGUGUAUGAAAGAAGGCCUUCGGGUUGUAAAGCACUUUCAGUGGGGAGGAAGGGGGUGUGGUUAAUAACUGCACUUCUUGACGUUACCCACAGAAGAAGCACCGGCUAACUCCGUGCCAGCAGCCGCGGUAAUACGGAGGGUGCGAGCGUUAAUCGGAAUUACUGGGCGUAAAGCGCAUGCAGGUGGUUUAUUAAGUCAGAUGUGAAAUCCCGGGGCUCAACCUCGGAACUGCAUUUGAAACUGGUGAACUAGAGUGCUGUAGAGGGGGGUAGAAUUUCAGGUGUAGCGGUGAAAUGCGUAGAGAUCUGAAGGAAUACCGGUGGCGAAGGCGGCCCCCUGGACAAACACUGACACUCAGAUGCGAAAGCGUGGGGAGCAAACAGGAUUAGAUACCCUGGUAGUCCACGCCGUAAACGAUGUCUACUUGGAGGUUGUGCCCUUGAGGCGUGGCUUCCGGAGCUAACGCGUUAAGUCGACCGCCUGGGGAGUACGGCCGCAAGAUUAAAACUCAAAUGAAUUGACGGA